rnacentral:rRNA from 1 species
GAUGAACGCUGGCGGCGUGCCUAAUACAUGCAAGUCGAGCGAACAGAUAAGGAGCUUGCUCCUUUGACGUUAGCGGCGGACGGGUGAGUAACACGUGGGUACCCUACCUAUAAGACUGGGAUAACUUCGGGAAACCGGAGCUAAUACCGGAUAACAUUUGGAACCGCAUGGUUCUAAAGUGAAAGAUGGUUUUGCUAUCACUUAUAGAUGGACCCGCGCCGUAUUAGCUAGUUGGUAAGGUAACGGCUUACCAAGGCGACGAUACGUAGCCGACCUGAGAGGGUGAUAGGCCACACUGGAACGGAGACACGGUCCAGACUCCUACGGGAGGCAGCAGUAGGGAAUCUUCCGCAAUGGGCGAAAGCCUGACGGAGCAACGCCGCGUGAGUGAUGAAGGGUUUCGGCUCGUAAAACUCUGUUAUUAGGGAAGAACAAAUGUGUAAGUAACUGUGCACGUCUUGACGGUACCUAAUCAGAAAGCCACGGCUAACUACGUG